rnacentral:lncRNA from 1 species
CCAGGAGCCGGGAGCAGGCACACAGGCGUCCCGACGUCUCUACCGAUACCAUUUAUUUUCAUUCUCCCCAGUACAUCCUGCAAAGCUAGUGGGGUGAGCCCAUUGCACGGAUGCAUAACGAGGCUCAGAGAGGCUGGAGCGGGGCAGGAUUUGAGCCUUAGUGUCAGAUCCCAAAGCCGAGGCGCAUAGCCAUCCUCUGCUGCCGGGAGGGGCUAAGAGGGAAGAAGUGGGGGAAGCAAAGGAGGCUGCAUCAAUCACAGGGAUGGAUUUGCUCCAGCACGCCAGAAAGGAGCAGCCUCAGAGCCACUGAGGAGAAAGAACAGUGAGGGCUGUAAGGGGCGCUGAGGGUGGAGGCAGGAGGGCCAGGGACAUGAAGGACGGGGCAAAAGGGGAGGCAGAGACCAACGGACAGGGACAGAUGGAGGCAGGCACUUGGGAUGUUCCAGAACAGAGGCUCUGAGGGUGCCCAGUGGGUAGGGUGGUGGUGGCCCCACCCUGACCAGAACCUGGCCUCGGUCAAACCUGACCCCCCACCCAGGACCUAGUACAUGCCCCAGCCCCAGCCCCUGCCACCCCUGCCCAAUCGUGUCUGCGAAAUUCAAGGAAGCAACAGUAAAUAUGUGGGCUCCGGAGUCAGGCUGACCUGGAUUUCAACCCAACUGCACCUCCUCAAGGUAUCCUCAGCAAGAUCUUGCCACCUUUCUGAGUGGCUGGUUCCUCUUGGUGGAACCCACUGCUUUACUGGUUCCCUGAGGAGCUAGAAGGGAGAAAGCUUGGGUUACGGCUACAAGAAGGAAGACGCCAUGGCCAAGCCUGCCUCAAGGCUGUUCUGGAGGAGGCAGUCCCAGAGCUGCCAGAUGCAUCUUCAUCUUAAACACAGCUUUCCAGCUCUCUGUACAGACUCAGCACCCUUGGAUGGAGAAACAAAGCUCAGAAAGAUGAUGUAACCUGCACAAAGUUGCACAGUGAGUGUAAUCUCUGGGCACCGUGGAAGCCGAGAGCCUAGUGGAGGCAGAAGGUAAGCAAAGACUAGCCCAGGAAACAGUCUCUAGGAAUUCACUAGAGUGGGUGACGCCUGUCACUCAUUUCAUUCUGGGAAUGCUGCAGGAGAUGGAAAGCCUCCCAUCCCUGGAGGCAACUAACAUGCCUCUAGUGGUCGUGUGGAUGCCAUGAGGCAAAUAUCACUGCUAUUUCCAUUAUAUAAAUGAGGCUCAGAGGUGAGCAUCACGUCAAGUAUUUCAAUUGGGAAAGAUGAUAUUUUUAAACUUCCCUCUAAGCAUGGGAUCUUGCACUGCCCCUUACUGCUGAGCCAAGCUCCCUGGAGAGUCUCCAUACCCUCCCCUUGACUCAGACAGGCCACCCUCCCUCCCCUCCUUGAGAGGUGUCACUUGAGCACUGUGGCUCUGUCAGUGGUAACAGCUGUAAGAUUUGUCCUUUUAAUCCAGAAUCAAUAACAAAUUUCAUUUAAAAAUAAAUUAAACCAGGCAUUGGAAAUCAUUCACCACGUGGGCUGGAGCCCUAUAUAGCACCAUCUAAAUGGCUUCCUUUUGCUCAUCUAUCAAUGCCAAGAGUGGGGGAAAUACCUAGGCUGCCUGAUUCAUGGAGAAACUACUUAAAUGUAUCAGCCCCUAACAAUGAGCAAUGUAAGCCUGGAGUUGCACCUUUUAGCACACCAAUAACAUGUGGAGUGAGGCUUCAUGAGAGCUUAUCAGAGCCCCCAUGGUCACUGGCUUUGAGAGAGCCCAUUUAUAAGGGGGAACAAUGGCUUUAGUAUGUAGCCGCCUAAUUUCCAGAAUGCAUUACUGAGCUCUGAGGAGCAAUGGAAUUCUAUUAAAGUCUUAUCUGCCAUGGGAGGGUAUGAAACCGGUGCGGAACUCCAGGCUUGGCAUAGACAUGCCCAGAAAGCAGCAGGGCUGACCCUAGGAGGUGGGUGAACAAGCCCAGAGGGAGAGGGGGGAGCAGGAGGGGCCCCGGAUGUGUGAAAAUAUGUGUGUUAAUAAGAGCUCCGGUUUCCAGCGAUUACGUUUACAUCAGUGAAUAAAACUUGGCAAUAAAACAUCGGAGCUGCGUCUCAGACAGCAUUUCCUUUUACAGCCUGGUGUAUUUCACUCAUUAUAACAGGAGGCAGGGAGCGCGAGGUGUCCCCAUUUCUCCCCCUUUAAUUAAAUUUUCUAAAUUACUGCCCAAGAUUUGGAUAAAGCGAAAGACUUACAGCUCCCCUAAUCGCCAUCGAGGCUCCCGCCCCACCACUGUGGUGGCCCUGACUGUACCGGUUUCCAAUAUUAUUAAAGUGAAAUACUGUGGGCAUUGCCUGCCUGGGCUCUGGUUUUUAAAAAGAGAUGCAGCAUCAGGAAGAAAUUGGCCCACGGUCAGGAAAGAGGCCUGGGUUUCAGGACGGGCUUUGCCAUCACCACCUUGUGUGACCUUGGGCAAGUUAUUUCUCUUAUCUGAGACUCAUGACUUCUCCUUUUCCCCAGAUGUUCAUCUUGAGGCUCUUAGAAUUGAUCUGGAGCUGGGGCAGUCCUUGGACCCACACUGGGACGACUGGGGAGCUUUAAGAAUAUAUGGGUGCCCAGGGCACACCCCAGAGAUUCUGACAUAAUUGGUCUUAGGUGAGAUCUGGGUAUCAGGGUUUAAAAAAAAUUCCCCAGGUGAUCACAGUCCACAGCUAGGAUUGAACACCAUUGGCCUAAACACAGAGUUAUUAGAUAUUACUGGACUUGAGACUCUCUGGAGAGGCUGGCUGUGGCCAGGCCCCACCCCUGGGUGUUCUCUUUCAGACUGGCUUUUCGGGGUGGGUAUCUGGGAAUCUGCCUGCUCACUAAGCACCCCAGGUGUGUCUCGUGCAGGGAUCCAGUGGGCUGCAGUGAGGAUUCCAACAGAGGUGGGAGGACAAGGGUUCCUUGAAUUGAGCCCAGCCAGCCUCGUGGAAUGAGGAGGCCCCUCUGCCCCAGUUCCCCUCUGGAGGGCAGCACAGGGAGCCGAUAUGUGACCUCCCACUCCGGUCUGGGGUACUUCUCUCCUCUGAUGACUGAUUUCUUUAUCUGUUCCACUCACCGCUGGCAGGAGCCUUGACUGGCCUCCACAGUCACAUCAUGUUCCCAUCAUAGGAACCCCAGGUCUGGCCCCUCUGCCCAUGUGGUUCACGAUCGCCGCAGACCCAGGUUUUCCACAUGGACGGACUCCGAGCCUUUAUCUGCACUCUGCCUCCCGCAGGGCUCCUAGGCCUCCUAGGAAGGCCUUGUCUAGGCUGAGAGCCAU